AUCGGAAGGAUCAUUAAUUAUGUUAAAGCGCCUUACCUUAGGGUUUCCUCUGGGGUAAGUGAUUGCUUCUACACUGUGAAAAUUUGGCUGAGAGACUCAGACUGGUCAUGGGUAGACCUAUCUGGGGUUUGAUCGAUGCCACUCCUGGUUUCAGGAGUACCCUUCAUAAUAAACCUAGAAAUUCAGUAUUAUAAAGUUUAAUAAAAAACAACUUUUAACAAUGGAUCUCUUGGUUCUCGCAUCGAUGAAGAACGUAGCAAAGUGCGAUAACUAGUGUGAAUUGCAUAUUCAGUGAAUCAUCGAGUCUUUGAACGCAGCUUGCACUCUAUGGUUUUUCUAUAGAGUACGCCUGCUUCAGUAUCAUCACAAACCCACACAUAACAUUUGUUUAUGUGGUGAUGGGUCGCAUCGCUGUUUUAUUACAGUGAGCACCUAAAAUGUGUGUGAUUUUCUGUCUGGCUUGCUAGGCAGGAAUAUUACGCUGGUCUCAGGAUCUUUUUUUUUGGUUCGCCCAGGAAGUAAAGUACAAGAGUAUAAUCCAGUAACUUUCAAACUAUGAUCUGAAGUCAGGUGGGAUCUACCCGCUGAACUUAAGCAUAUCAAAA
rnacentral:rRNA from 1 species